CUAGUGGUUAGGAUUCGGCGCUC
rnacentral:piRNA from 3 species